rnacentral:rRNA from 1 species
CCUACGGAGGCAGCAGUGAGGAAUAUUGGUCAACGGGCGCGAGCCUGAACCAGCCAAGUAGCGUGAAGGAUGACUGCCCUACGGGUUGUAAACUUCUUUUAUAAAGGAAUAAAGUGAGGCACGUGUGCCUUUUUGUAUGUAUUUUAUGAAUAAGGAUCGACUAACUCCGUGCCAGCAGCCGCGGUAAUACGGAGGAUCCGAGCGUUAUCCGGAUUUAUUGGGUUUAAAGGGAGCGUAGAUGGGUUGUUAAGUCAGUUGUGAAAGUUUGCGGCUCAACCGUAAAAUUGCAAUUGAUACUGGCAGCCUUGAGUACAGUUUAGGUAGGCGGAAUUCGUGGUGUAGCGGUGAAAUGCUUAGAUAUCACGAAGAACUCCGAUUGCGAAGGCAGCCUACUAAACUGCCACUGACAUUGAUGCUCGAAAGUGUGGGUAUCAAACAGGAUUAGAUACCCUAGUAGUC